UAUAGUUGUGCUGCAGUUUACAAAGAACUCUAGUAUGCAACAAGUUCGAAGAUGAUACUAUUUUCCUAAGGAUCUAUCUCUGGUGUUUGGAAUUUGAAAAUCAUAAAACCAAAACUCCACUGAACAACACUAAGAAAGGAGAUUAUGUAUACACAAGAGAGGGACCAUUGGAUGAUACUUUGGAACAAAAUAGAACAUGCCAGCCCAUACCAUUAACUGGGUUAUGUAUAGAGGAUAUCAGGAACAAAUUGGAUAAUAUUAAGAACACUAAAUACUACAACAAGAACAAGCCAGUAGAAUUUACAGGGAUGAAUACUGAGCACAGCAGCUAAGACUGUCCGAUUGGCGAGGCCUGGCGGGGGAAUGGUGUGCUGUGAGGCUGAACCGGGAGCCUUUACACACGCCACGGAGGGUCACGAACGUGAGAUUUCUACUGUUAAUCCGGAAACCAAUAGUCUGACCUUUUCUUUUGUACCAACUUAUGGAACACUUCCCACACAAGUGCUGGUUGGAAAAAAUGAAAACUUUAUUCCCAAAGUUCAAAAAAAUUCAGUUAAUUGGGAAAAAGAAAUGAUGGAUCAAAAGCCUAAUUAUGAAAAUGUGUCAGAAAAAAGCAUCAGCAUGGAAGAUGAAAGUCCUUCCAUUUGUCACAAACGAAGCAAUGAACAGAUUUUCCUAGGAAGAGGAUUACACUCAAAUACGUUGUAUGAUAUGAAGCAGAAUGACCUUUUCAUUGCAGAGUUUGUCCUUGUUGAGGAUUUUGAGGAAGAUGAAGAAAUAACGAAGAAAAACAAUGAAACAAUGUCUUGUGAAGAAGGAUAUGAAUCUAGUGGAACACAAGUGUCAGCUACACCGGAGCCGGCAGCAUGCAUAUCAGAAGUGCUUGUUAAUGAGUUAUAUGUCCUUGAAGAACAACAUGAAAACAUUCUACAUAAUAUUGAUUGCAAAGAAAAAGAACUGCAGCUGAAUUCUUGUGUAACAACUGCCGAUUAUGGUCCAUAUAACUCCAAAGAUUCAUACUCAUUAAAUCAACAAUUUAAAUGUUUGAAUUAUCAAAUACCUGGAAGGCAUGAAUAUGUUAUAUGCAACUCUCCUGCAAAUAUAAAAGAUACGACUACCAAGAAUAGCUUUCCUAAUUCCAAUAAACUCUUGCCAAUCACAUCGCCAUUACUAAACAUACCAAAUACAAAUAUGGCAAGUUUUUCAAUCCCUACUCAGAUGAAAGUAUCAGAUACCUCUACUGUCAAUACCAAAAUAUCUUCUCCUGAUACUUGUUAUAGGUCAAAAGCAAUGUCUCCUUUACCAGUACAAGUAAUAAAGCAUUCUCUUAGUCCUAGCCCUACCCCCCUUCAGUCUAAGUUUUAUGGUUCAUCUUCAACAAUAAGUAGUGUAAAUGAUCUCAGCCGCCCAAUGUCUCCUGCAAGGUCAGAGAUAGUUUCCCCUGUGCCAUCACGACUUUCUUAUUUAACUUCUCUACUAAGAUCUGAAAACAUAAACCGAAAAUUUUGUCAAGGAUUCUAUCAAUUUAAUCCAGAUAGAAAAAAAUCAAGUGAAAUGAGGUCUACAGGAACAUGUAUUUUACCAAGGAAAUCAUUUUCAUGUUUUUCUCUACAUAAUCCACAGCAGACAAAUAUAGAAUGCUCUCAAAGAAAGGACGCCCAUCAAUAUAAAAUACUGUCCUCUGCUUCAGAAUCAAAUAUUAAAGAUGCUGAUAAUGAAAUAUCAAAGCCUAUUACUACACUGUCCCCAGAUUCAGUUCACUUCAAGGAAUCUAAAAGUGUUUUAUAUUCACGAAGUGGAACUUUGUCUCCUUCUUCACAAUUACAGUCACCAUAUUCUUCUAAAGAAAAUAUAGCUCCACUUAACCUUAAACCACCUUUAAUGAAAGAUACACAUAAACCACUGAAAAAGCAUUCAGUUACUGGAAAAUCAAAAAAUGUUUCAUUGUUCCCUUCAACUAUAUUGCCUUCAAAUCGCUCUAAUUCACUUCCUUACUUGACAAGUCAAAGACAAAAUGUGCCAUUGAAUUCAAAGGAAAAUGAGAAUUAUAGUGAUUUUAUUAUCUCAUCUCUGAUUACACCAAGGAGUUCUGCAGCACAUAACCAUUUUGCAAGUAAACAUAGAACAUCACCCCCCUCUAGGAACAUUAUAGAUGGAUCCAGUUUUCCAAAUCAAAACUUUAAGACUUGUGACUUGUCUCUCAGUUCAAGAAUGAGUUCAGACCUGGAUAAUUCAAAGACAUUACAGACAAAUUACAAAUCGUUUUCCAGCUCAGUCAACAAUGAGGAAUUAAAAAGAAAACCUGAGAAUGUUUGUAGGUUACCUGAUUAUAGACAGUCACUAAAGUCAGAAGCCAGUGAGUUGUCAUCAACUUACACACCACUGCAAUGUUUCCAAAAUGAAAGUACAAAGGCAUACACAAUGAAAUCCAAUUACAAGUCGUUUGCCGCAAUCCCUACAAAUAUUUUGCUUCAGGAUCAGAAGGCAAUUGAUGAACCAGGAAUAAACAGAACAAAAGCUAAACAAGAAGAAACAAUGGAAACACACUCUGAGAUGUAUUCACCUGCACUUCUAAGGCAACAAACAGAAGAAGUAUGUGCCGUUAUUGAUGAAGUUCUGCAUGAACCUUUGCCAAAGCACAAAGAUUCAGCAUAUUCUUCAAAAAUGAAGAAAGAGUUAAAAACAAGAAAAGAGCAAAAGUUCCCGAAACCUGCUGGAAGAGAAACAAAAUAUGCUUUCCUCCAACCACCAACAAAGGCUGGCAGCCAAUCAGAGCAGCAGUGCACUAAUGAAAACUGUCUGAACACACCAGACAAAGCCUGGUGUUAUUCGCCCCCUGUCUUUAAAAGUGGAUAUAGCUGAGAAGAACGAAGACCAUUAUUUCCCUAAUACAUUGAAGCAAUUUACUAUGUCUUCAGUCAGAAGAGACAAUGACUAUGAAAGAAGUUAGAAGAUGAUUCAGCUGGACGUUGAAUGGAUUAAUAUUUGUUUUACCAACAUGAAAAAGAAAAUGCAUUAAUUCCAAGAGGAACAUUAUAUUUGCAGUUUAUUUUAUUGAUGUCUAGUGAUCAGAUAAAAAACUAUUUAUUUUCCUGUUUUAUUUUAUAUAGUUAGAAUAUUUUAGUACAGGUAUUUGUGUUUGAAUUUAGAUGUCUGAGGCAUAGUUUAAAGGUAAAAAAUAAUGUAUCACUUACUUCUCUUUAAGUGUUUUAAUGAGCAUCUACAAAGAUAUAAUUCUGUUGAACAUCUCUUUAAUCAUCCCGUUCAAUAUAUUAAACAUGUGAUAUAUAUAUGUUAUUUUGACAAUCACACUCUCAUUAUGUUGUAAAUAGAAUUUAGAUUGUGUAAUCAACAUGACAUAGUGUAAGCAACUUUUAAUACAGAUUAAACUAUUUGUAGACUUCUGAAAAUACAUUUUAAUCUUCUUAUAAGUAUCAUUUGGUUUCACAGAAAUAAUUACUGACAAGAUUUUGCUCAUCCUACAACCGACCCAUAGACAAAAAAGCUAUAAGCUAAAGUAUUGUGUCUUAUAUUCUUCUGCAAGCCUCAUGAUAUUUAUUGUUGUGUUUUAUAUAAAAUUAUAUUUUUUUUAUCUUAAAUACAUAUCGGUUUGUCAAAAUUAUAUUAAUCCAGUAAACUCCUCUAAUGACUGACAAGGAUUAUUUUAUCUAUAUAAUAGAAAUAUUUGAUGUUUUAGUCUGUAUGACAUAAUGGUUAUAAUUAUACAUCUCUCACACCUGCAGAUGCUAGUAAAAUUGCUAUUAACUUAAUUAAGUAAUUAUAAAUGUUAUUUGUAUCUAAUGAGUGAAAAGUGCAAUUGUGUGUAUUUGCAUGUCAAAAAAGCUUCCAUCUCAAAUGAUGUUAAAAUAUGUUUUCAUAAACUUAAAGGAAUAAAAGAUGAUGUAUAUGAAUAAGCACAUAAA